UACGUAGGGGGCAAGCGUUGUCCGGAAUCAUUGGGCGUAAAGAGCGUGUAGGCGGUCCGUUAAGUCGGCUGUGAAAGUCCAGGGCUCAACCCUGGGAUGCCGGCCGAUACUGGCGGACUAGAGUCCGGAAGAGGCGAGUGGAAUUCUCGGUGUAGCGGUGAAAUGCGUAGAUAUCGAGAGGAACACCUGCGGCGAAGGCGGGUUGCUGGGCUGACACUGACGCUGAGGCGCGAAAGCCAGGGGAGCGAACGGG
rnacentral:rRNA from 1 species